GGGUUAGGGUUGGUUAGGGGUGGGGUUAGGGUUGGUUUAGGGGUAGGGUUAGGAAUAGGGUUAGGGUUUUCCUAACCCUACCACUAACCCUACCCCUAGCCCAACCACUAACCCUACCCCUAACCCUACUCCAACCACUAACCCUACCCUUACCUCUAACCCAACCACUAACCC